AAUGCCCUAAUUUGUAGCUUUAGUGUUUGGCCCUUACUGGCUCUAAGUCGAUCAGCCUUUAAUAAAGUGGUGCUCUCAAAAGCCCUUAAUGUGACCAUCAUUAUGGAAACCAUCCAAGGCAAGGAGCUUAGCUGCAUUAAUGAAGGAGGCAUGGCUCCUGUCUUACCUGUGCAGAAAGAGCCAUCCAACAUUGAGGCCAUUAUUCAGACACCAUGCCACAUAAAAAGGUGUUGGCAGCAAGUCUGGCUUUAUGAAGACAUAUCCAAGUUCAUUCCUGCCAGGAAAAAGUGGGUAUGGAGAGAGGAAAACAAUGCCUGCAUUGACCAAACAAACCUUUCUGGCCUCAUUUUCGUUAUAUUAGGAGGGACUUUACAUUGGAAUUAAACAUUUUGGCUUAAAUCAGA